CCGCCUCUGGGCUCUUAAAGCGACAGAGCCGCGGGACACGCCAAGCCCGGCAUGGCUGGAGGGGGGGGGACAGGGCGCUGCCAAUCACCGCUCUCCCCGGGGGGCCGGGGCCCCCGCGUGCCAGGCCCCCCCCGGCUGCGGGUGGAGCCAGGGCCUGGGGGCGGUGCAAUGUAACGGGGUUGAAUUAAUGACUCAUUAAGCAAACCCAGCGGUGUAACAAUGGCCAUUAAUUGGCAGGCGAUGCAGACAGCGUUAUUAGCACCAGCCCGUCCAUCAAUCGCGGCGACUGGUGUCCGGUGCAUUGAUUGCCAGACAACUCACCGCAGCUUGGGGGGGGGAUAGAACCGCGAUGGGAGCUAAUGAAUACCGCUGGCAUGUCAUUAAUGCAAUGUGUAGUUUCAGUUGACUCCCCGGGCACAUCUAGGUGUUGCCCAGGCGAGGUGUCCCUUGGACUCCACUGAGAAUCCUGCUCCGGACCACAGCUGCAGGGAGCCACUCCCCCAGGAAAAUCCCUUGGCGCUCAGGGAUUGUUGGGGAUCCAGGGGGGCAGGGCUAGCCCCAGUUGUAGAGAACGGUCAUCCUUCUGGACACUACAAGACAGAUGCGUUUGGAGGACUCUGGGCUCAGCCUGCACUAGGGCAGUCUCGGAUGAUGACCCAUCACACGUUGUUCAUUUUAAGAACACUUUCACUGCAGAU